UACGUAGGUGGCAAGCGUUGUCCGGAUUUACUGGGUGUAAAGGGCGUGCAGCCGGAGAGACAAGUCAGAUGUGAAAUCCACGGGCUCAACCCGUGAACUGCAUUUGAAACUGUUUCCCUUGAGUGUCGGAGAGGUAAUCGGAAUCCCUUGUGUAGCGGUGAAAUGCGUGGAUAUAAGGAAGAACACCAGUGGCGAAGGCGGAUUACUGGACGAUAACUGACGGUGAGGCGCGAAAGCGUGGGGAGCAAACAGG
rnacentral:rRNA from 1 species